GAUGAAGAACGCAGCGAAAUGCGAUAAGUAAUGUGAAUUGCAGAAUUCAGUGAAUCAUCGAAUCUUUGAACGCACAUUGCGCCCGCCAGUAUUCUGGCGGGCAUGCCUGUCUGAGCGUCAUUUCAACCCUCAUGCCCCUAGGGCGUGGUGUUGGGGAUCGGCCAAAGCCCGCGAGGGACGGCCGGCCCCUAAAUCUAGUGGCGGACCCGUCGUGGCCUCCUCUGCGAAGUAGUGAUAUUCCGCAUCGGAGAGCGAUGAGCCCCUGCCGUUAAACCCCCAACUUUCCAAGGUUGACCUCAGAUCAGGUAGGAAUACCCGCUAAACUUAAGCAUAUCAAUAAGCGGAGGA
rnacentral:misc_RNA from 1 species